UCAGUUCCUCAUCCCUGGCUACGCGUCCUCCCGACCAGCGCCGCUCCACGACCCCUCCUCCUCCAUGGCCUCUCCCUGCAGGCCCCCCAUACUGCGGAGCCCUUCUCGCCGUCGCCCAAGGCUCCGUCUCCGUUCACCCCGCACGCUGCCUCCAGGAGCCUCAUCUCCGUGCUCCAGCCGGAGGAUAUCCUGGUCCUUGACGCGGUCCGGAAGGCGGACGAGACAUGGAGCCAUGGAGAGGAAGAUGGAGACCAGCGCGGCUGGGAGGUGUGGGCGCGGCCAAGGGCGAUGCGGCGCUUGCACCUCCAGGGAGCGUGAUGGGCGAGAUCGGUGCAGCCGUGAUGGCAGAGAGCGAGAUCCGGGGAGGGCCGGGAGCAGGUUGUUUGCUGCUGACCUGAGUGCUUCACGUCCUUUUUUCACAUUGAUUUCUUCAAAUCUUUGCAAUGUUUCUUUUUUUAGAUCAACCUGUGCAAGGUUUCUUGCUAUUCUCUACAUACUUUAUUUUUAUUUGUCUUUGCUGAUUUGUUUACUUCUGCAGGUCUAUGUGGGGAUCAUUCUACCGGUCUGGGGUCUCAUUAUUUUGUUGACAGGAUUGUUAAUGGAACGAGGCAUAUGUUUAAAGAUUUUUUGCGUGCUUGCUCAAACGAUUGUCUUCUGCUGCUGAUACCUCUACUCCCAAACACUCUCAGUUGUAUGUUUAAGAUACACAUAACUAUCAAUUUAAAGCAUGAUGUUUGCAGGUCAUAUUUACUUAAGCAUAAGCCUUUUCUAUAUUUUAACUCUUCUCUGUACACAUUUAAAGGUUUAAUUCAUGCCUGAAUGUUACUUACGGAAUGCACAGUUCUGAGAAUGGAUUUGGAGCUCAUUUAGCUGGGCUUAUGGUUUAAGGAAGUCAAUCGUGCAUUCUCUGUAGGUUAUCACAUCUAGCCUCAAGAUUCAUAUAACUUGCACGAACUACAUUCUUCUCUCUUUCAUGCACUUUUUCUUUGAUAUUUCAGCUGUGCGCUAAACAACUCAUGAGUGUAGAUUUUACCCACUUAUGAAUGAAAAGAAAGAUCAGCAAGUAUGUAAAUGUUCUAACUGUGUACUGCAUUUGUUUUUGUCAGAUUGUACAAAUCCAAACAUCAUGUACAUAUAAUUUGAACCUGUGCUUCUAUUAUUGCAUCAUUACAUGUGUCUGUACGCCAAAGGAAUGCUACCUUUGCUAUGUGCUUGGACAAGAGGUAAAAGAAAGGGAAACAAGAGUCUUAAUUUGGUUAUGAUUUAUCAAUGAACCAUCUAUCAGAACUUAGAUUGCCAAUGAACAAGGUAAUGUGCUUAUGUUAUCCUUUUUCCCACAUACUACUCUCUACCUCUAUCAAAAAGCCGGUAGGUAUAUUUUUUCCCGUGCAAAUAUUUGCAAUAAAGCCUGCAUGUGAAUGUUCAUUCUGUAAUAUAAAUGUAUACAUAUAUUCCACACUUCACAAUAGAUUUUUUUCAGCUAACUAUGCUUUCAGGCCCGUAUGUUUCUCAAGUAACCUAUAUGUUAAUUUUUCACAUGUGUUUUGCUGAAACUUCUUGGUUCAUCACAGGUUUUAUAAAAUGGAUUUUCUGUAAGCUACUGGAUGGGGAGCUGAGCUGACAGAUUAUUUUCUGUAUGCGCCAGCAGAACUGCAUACCAUUCACUUUCCUUUUUAGUAUGUGUGUUUGCCUGAAUUAAUUGGCUACAGAAUUGGCUCCACAUUUGCAAAAGCAAGAUUAGGUCGUCUUUUUUCCUUGCUAGAUAAAGAUUUGGCUUCGCAUUUUAAUAAGAGGGUGAUUGAGUAAAGCUUCUGCCUUGAAUUCAGAAGGUAAGAUGGAAAGGGGCUUAAAUGUUAACACUGUUCUUUAGUAUUUGAACACUGUUCAUAUAGAGCUCUUUGUUGCCGGUCCGAUCAAGAAUACCGACUCUGAACUCUUUUGCAUGCAUUAAACACCGAAAUCUUAUCUGCAGCAAGAAGUCAGGUUGAUCUGAAGAGAAGUAAGCAAGUAUUCAUAUGGUUAUGUCAAGAUAUCUAUUUCGUCGACACCGACCAUCGCAAAAAGCCUAUGAAAUACUAUUUGCCUACCUACUGUUGUACCAAGUAUGGACGCAGUACCAAGUAUGGACGCAGAAGACGUACUGUUUUGUUAACACAUCGGUUCUUUCCUCCCGGUUGUUCACACUGUCCCAGUUGUCCCACUCAUCGAUGGCCGCCUUGAGUUGCUGAUUGCCCCCGUCUUUUGUUAAUGAGGUGCAGUGACCCAUGCCUCCAUGCUUGCUCUGGUCACUACAGCUUGACGCCGUGUAUGUUUCUACCUCUGCAGCUGUGGCGGUUUUCUCACAUGGACCAUCAGGGGGCGAGUAUUACGCAAAGGAGCGCGACUCAUUGAAUUAACUUAAGGUAUCUACAAAUAUCAGCUGGAGAUAUUCAAUGAUUAAGCUACCUACACCAAUUGCUGCAACUGAAGACAACCGGUUUAGCUUAGAUUCUGCUACUGCCACAUAUUCAGUGCUUAGGCCACCUACAACAGUUGGUGUAACUCUACACACAACCUGUUUAGUUUAGAAAAUACUAGCCUACUGACACGUUAUGUGUGCUUUCUGUUACUGGUUGGUUUUAUGCUAUGUUACAGUUAACGAUUUGUUCUUUGUACUUCGUGUAGUCCUGUGCCGCUCUGAUCAAUGUUCCGCGGACUAAUUUUUCUCUCAUCUGUCUUUGUAUUAGUCCUGAUUGUUGUAUCCAGUUUGCUUUAUAAUAGGCCAUCAUUGUCUGUAUGCAUUCAGGCUUA